UACAGAGGUCUCGAGCGUUGUUCGGAUUUAUUGGGCGUAAAGGGUGCGUAGGUGGCGUCGUAAGUCGGGUGUGAAAUUUCGGAGCUCAACUCCGAAACUGCAUUCGAUACUGCGGUGCUUGAGGACUGGAGAGGAGACUGGAAUUUACGGUGUAGCAGUGAAAUGCGUAGAGAUCGUAAGGAAGACCAGUGGCGAAGGCGGGUCUCUGGACAGUUCCUGACACUGAGGCACGAAGGCCAGGGGAGCAAACGGG
rnacentral:rRNA from 1 species